GUUUAGUAGUUGGCGCUGUAGAAGAAGUCUGUCAUGACGUCAUGUGAAAAAAAGCAGAUGUAUUGAUGAGGUCCGGUUGUAACUUCUUUUAAUUGUUGUGCAGUUAUAUCUCCCCACUUCCUGUAUGCCUCCUCUGCCACGUCACAGCCCGUCUAGAGCGCUGGUUAGCACACCUGUCAACUGAUUAGAAGACUCACCUGUGGACAAUCACUGAUUACAGGGACCUUCUGCUUCCACACCGCCUGCCUUGUCUGCAUCCUGGGAUCAAGUCAACUACCAUCCGCCACCGUGACAAAAAACAGACAGUGGAAAAAGGCAAAAGAGCUAAGUUAAGCACGACGGGAGGAUGAGGACCAUGUGGUCAACUCUUGCAAGACACCCAAAUGUGUCCUGGUCGGUCCUGCUGGUGCAAAAGAAGGAGCUGAAAAAAGUGUGCAUGAUAUGGACUUGUUGCCUGAGAAGGUGUGACGUGCAGCCACAUACUCGUUAUGUUGGCCAUCAGCAUGUUUGCGAGGUGUCUUUUAUGCAGGCACGCACUGCACUGCGACAAUCACAAGCCUCCAAUUUCCAGGAAAGAACUCUACGGAUUUUUAUCAACAUAAGCUUUCAAGGGCAAAUGAAAUGAUCCACUUGUCUAUUGUGAUUGUUUUGUAAAAGCAGGGAAGUUGUCACCUCGUGUAAAUGCUAAAU